rnacentral:rRNA from 1 species
AACGAACGCUGGCGGCGUGCCUAACACAUGCAAGUCGAACGGAGAUAAGGGGCUUGCUCCUUAUUUUAGUGGCGCACGGGUGAGUAACGCGUAGAUAAUCUGCCUGAUGAUCUGGGAUAACAGUUCGAAAGGACUGCUAAUACCGGAUAAGCCCACGGGGUCUUUGGACUCUGCGGGAAAAGGGGGGGACCUUCGGGCCUUCUGUCAUCAGAUGAGUCUGCGUACCAUUAGCUAGUUGGUAGGGUAAUGGCCUACCAAGGCUACGAUGGUUAGCUCGUCUGAGAGGAUGAUCAGCCACACGGGAACUGGGACACGGUCCAGACUCCUACGGGAGGCAGCAGUGGGGAAUUUUGCGCAAUGGGCGAAAGCCUGACGCAGCAACGCCGCGGGAGUGAUUAAGGCUUUCGGGUCGUAAAGCUCUGUCAGAGGGAAAGAAGUGUAUUGUGGCUAAUAUCCACGAUACUUGACGGUACCCUCAAAGGAAGCACCGGCUAACUCCGUGCCAGCCGCCGCCGUAAGAC